rnacentral:rRNA from 1 species
CCUACGGGAGGCAGCAGUGAGGAAUAUUGGUCAAUGGGCGAAAGCCUGAACCAGCCAAGUAGCGUGCAGGAUGACUGCCCUAUGGGUUGUAAACUUCUUUUAUGAGGGAGUAAAACGAGGCGCGUGUGCCUUUUUGCAUGUACUGUAUGAAUAAGGACCGGCUAACUCCGUGCCAGCAGCCGCGGUAAUACGGAGGGUCCGGCCGUUAUCCGGAUUUAUUGGGUUUAAAGGGAGCGUAGAUGGUUUGUUAAGGCUGGUGUGAAAGGUUGUGGCUCAACCGUUACAUUGCAAAUGAUACUGGCAGGCUUGAGUACGGGAGAGGUAAGCGGAAUUCGUGGUGUAGCGGUGAAAUGCUUAGAUAUCACGAAGAACCCCGAUUGCGAAGGCAGCUUACUGAACUGUGACUGACGUUGAGGCUCGAAGGCGUGGGUAUCGAACAGGAUUAGAUACCCUUGUAGUC